UACGUAGGUGGCAAGCGUUGUCCGGAUUACUGGGCGUAAAGAGCGCGCAGGCGGUCGUUCAAGUCGCGUGUGAAAGCCCCCGGCUCAACUGGGGAGGGUCACGCGAUACUGAUCGACUCGAAGGCAGGAGAGGGAAGUGGAAUUCCCGGGUGUAGUGGUGAAAUGCGUAGAUAUCGGGAGGAACACCAGUGGCGAAGGCGACUUCCUGGCCUGGUUCUUGACGCUGAGGCGCGAAAGCUAGGGGAGCAAAGCGGGG
rnacentral:rRNA from 1 species